UACAGAGGUCUCAAGCGUUGUUCGGAUUCAUUGGGCGUAAAGGGUGCGUAGGCGGCGCGGUAAGUCGGGUGUGAAAUCUCGGGGCUUAACUCCGAAACUGCAUUCGAUACUGCCGUGCUUGAGGACUGGAGAGGAGACUGGAAUUUACGGUGUAGCGGUGAAAUGCGUAGAUAUCGUAAGGAAGACCAGUGGCGAAGGCGGCUUCCUGGCCUGUAACUGACGCUGAGACGCGAAAGCGUGGGGAGCGAACCGG
rnacentral:rRNA from 1 species